ACACACAGAUAUGUUUGGGAUGCAUUCUGAGCGGCUGCAUAGUGAUUAGAAGGCGAUGGAACUGCAGAUAGCAUAAGUGGGCGCAUUCAGACAACAGCGCUACGGCGCGCACAGUGGAAGGCUAUGCUGCCACCGCAGUCCCAGCAGCCGCUACAGGAUCUCUGAAAUCGCGAACGAGCCAGCUGGAGACAAUCCCCAGCGUAUCGGAUCGUCGUCGUCGUUGUCGAGCAGGCACCGAAAAAAACCAGCUUGGGUGAAUUGGUAUGUGGCACUGGCUACGUGCUGUUCCUCAAUGCACCUUUGACGCACAUCUUUCGGCGUUGGCAAUGCGGCGGCGCAGCAUGUCCAAGGGGAAGCGCGAGAGAGGAGUUCGGCUGCAUACACACCUCAUGCAUGACAACAAUGCUAAUCGCAUUGACGUCGGCAUUCAUCGCGAGGAGCGGACACGACAUGGUGUCCGAAGUGGAAUCGACCUCCCCUUCUAUAGUUGCCAUUGCGGCGUUCACCCUGCAUCGGUCGGCGCGAUGACGGUCCCGCCAGCGGUAGCCCCCCCUCCCCCCCCCCCCACCGACGUCGUUCAACUUCAACCGGACUUCCGAAUGGCCAGGAUGGAUUAUGUCAUUCGAUGACUACCGCUACGCAUCGGGGCACAACAACAGAACGGAGGAAGCCCAGGCGCAAGAAGUAUCUCUUUGGAUGCUUUGGGAUGGAGUGGCCCUUACACCACCGGUCACCUGUGUUUGGGGAUCGACAAAAGACGACCAAGGAAGGUGCCCCGAGUCCUUGGCUGCUAUGUCAACGUCAGAUGCUAGACGCCUGCUUUGGAUGUGUUCUGGAACUCGGGUGACCGGAAUUAAGAAUUUAAGAAAGGUUAAACUGAAGCCAAACCUAUCCGAAAACUAUUAACACUGGAUAAUGGAUAAUAAACCUGGAAAGGCACUGCUGCAGUUAUUGCACAAUGCAGGGCUGGAAGCUUUUAUCUAACUUCCUCUCAUUCUUUACGCCCAACGGCAAUACUUCCGAAAAAAAAAAAUCAUCAUGCCGUCUUCUCAGUGAAUAAUCUCAUGCUUCCUAAAUCAUCAAGUACAUACAUUGUGGCAUGCAUCACUGAAUAAAAUACUCUAAUGGAGCUUGAGCUCC